rnacentral:lncRNA from 1 species
CCGUAAAGGUGCACUCCGAUGCAGAUGGUCUUGGGUUAUCUUAUCCUGUUUGUGAACUAUUGGCAUCAGUUUUGAGUGAGAUGAGCGCAGGUCACCGGAUCAGACGGUGCUGCAGCUGUGUUCUCCCCAGAUGGCACUGUGGCCUCAUUGGCCUUCUCAGUUCCUGGUAAGGCCCUGGCUGUAUCUGGUGCGUCUGUGCCUGCAGCUGCUGUUGUGACAGGCCUCCCAGCCGCUGCUGCCUGGCCACUGUCAAUGUCCAUGGGCACAGGCUGCACACAACCAUUGAAAGCUUUAGAGACCCACCAGAGAAGUGGCACAUUGCGAAUGUUGCAGCACAGGGGAAAAUCAGCUUGAUCACAUUCUUCAAUUGGUGGGGGGUCACAGGUGCCCGACAGAGACAACAACCACCUGCACAGGAUGCUCAGGCUGCCUUGCAAUCGGCAUUUUCCCCUUGUCUUUCUGCCCAGAUGGGGUUUUGAUGUUGGGAUCGCUGACCUGCACGCAGCAACAGCAGCGCAUGCUCGGAACCAAUGCCCACCACACAGAAAUUGUCGCCUAAUGGCAAGCACCGAUGCAACGCCUUUUGUAUGAACCUCUGAAUGCCCUACACACACUCACCGGCUGCAGGUGAGGAAAUCUUGGGCCAGGCUUGCUGCCAGAGCGGUCGCCUG